GACGAACGCUGGCGGCGUGCUUAACACAUGCAAGUCGAACGAAGUGGCGAACGGGUGAGUAACGCGGAAUACACCUGCCCUUCAGAGGGGGACAACAGUUGGAAACGACUGCUAAUACCGCAUACUGAGGGAGGGGAUUGCGUCUGAUUAGCUAGUGGGAGGGGUACCGGCCCACAAAGGCGAUGAUCAGUAGCCGGUCUGUGUGUAUGAACGGCCAAAUUUGGACUGAGACACGGCCCAGACUCCUACGGGUGGCAGCAGUGGGGAAUCUUCCGCAAUGUACGAAAGUCUGACGGAGCAACGCCGCGUGAGUGAUGACGGCUUUCGGGUUGUAAAGCUCUGUUAAGCGUGACGCGGUACCGGAAUAGAAAGCCACGGCUAACUACGUGCCAGCAGCCGCGGUAAUUC
rnacentral:rRNA from 1 species